UGGCGGACGGGUGAGUAACGCGUGGGGAACCUGCCCUGUACAGGGGGAUAACACUUAGAAAUAGGUGCUAAUACCGCAUAAGCGCACAGUAUCGCAUGAUACAGUGUGAAAAACUCCGGUGGUACAGGAUGGACCCGCGUCUGAUUAGCUGGUUGGCGGGGUAACGGCCCACCAAGGCGACGAUCAGUAGCCGGCCUGAGAGGGUGAACGGCCACAUUGGGACUGAGACACGGCCCAAACUCCUACGGGAGGCAGCAG
rnacentral:rRNA from 1 species